GGCAGCCUACAAACAGGAGGGAAAUCAACUCUUUGAAAGGAAUCUGAAAUCUACGGCUGAGCGAUGGUGGAUCCAGUUCAGAACCUCGGUGACUUCUUCGGCUGCAAUAUGCAGAAAGUGGUAGGACAUAUUUGGCAACACAGCAUCUUGCAGUUUACAGUACGUGUGCAUUACGGGUAUCUGGGCUUUGUUUUCCUGAAAGCGAUAGCAGGCCUGGAAUGGUGCGUUCACACCAUCUACACGGCUAGAGCAAAGGAGAACACACACGUACAAUGGCAAAAGAAGUCUCAACUAUCACAAGUUGCUCUCUACUACCGUUAGAAUUAGCACCUUUCGCCUUUAAAUGCAGCAGCAGAGCCAACCCAGACGCCCAGGUCCUGAUGCACGACAAUGGAGUGGACAAAAGAAGGGGCACAAACAUUCAGAAUUGCAAUGGACCGUUCCCACCAAGCUGUCAACACGCGGAAAGACAAGCUCUCCAAACUGGCACACUGUAUGUAACAAGCCAGUUCUGGAAAGCACGAGGACGAACUCUGCAAACAGUAUUUUAUUUACUAUCAGGGGUUUGACAGCAUUGCUGUUUCUGCUGUGCACUGCAGUCGAAACGUUUCUUUUAUUGACACGCAGGAAACCUCCACUGCUUCAGAUUGCAAGGCACCUGUCAGCUACAGCAGCGCUGUCAGUACAGAAUUCCAACCAGUUGCUAGGCUGCUUGUCUUUUAGGAUGUGAUUUCAUCUGGAAGCAGGCUCUGAAAUGUGGCUCUCGGCUCACCCUGUUACACAGACGAUUGGCUGCGCUCUGGUUCAGGUGUUAGCUCACAUACUGCUUCUAAUCAGCAGCUAUUUCUGAGAAUAUUGAAUUCAUUUAUUGGUGAGUGACUUACUUAUAGAAUUCAAAUCAGAAUGUUUUGAACAGAAGAAGCUGUUGUUUUUAAAACAAACAAACAAACAAACAAACAAAACACACUACAAUAUUGUUGCUUUUUUAAUGUUUGGAAUAUGCUGCUGUAAACGUGUCUUCUAUCAGCGGCGGAAGCUUGGUGCUUGGAGAGAUACUUCUUUUACUUAGUAUAAAAUACUUAGGUAUCAUACAACUAACUAUUUUGCUUAAAAAAAAAAAAAAAUUCCAGUGAGGAGGGUCAUACAAGCUUUAUAACGAAAACCAAGGGGUAAGAUUUUCUUUUCAAUGAAGGAUAGCACUGGGUUUGUCUCAUUUCACGAAGAAAUUUGGGCCUACGGACAGCCGUGGGAGAUUCCUAUGGGAAAAGGCUGUAAAACUACAGUUGUUAGAAGGAGAAUGUUAAACAAGAAUUAGAACUGUCUCGUUAAUGUCUCACUAGAAAAAUAAUGUAUUAGUUUUCACAGACUGGCAGAAAGAGUUUUCAGUUUGGGAAGAUAAGGUUUGGUUUGUUUCAUUUGCCGUGGUGGCACUUAGCAGCAAUUGCUUUGUUCUAGCACAUCCUGAGCUAUUUGAUACAUCUUUUCUCUCCACUUCCAGUGAAAGUUUUUUAUUUUGGUUACUCGUAAACAAUUACGGUUACUUGGUUUGGAGUUGUGGCUUUUGGUGCUGGGCUGGCUUGCAGUUGUUUUUUUUUUUUUUUUUUUUUUGCAAAGUAAUGAUUUUAAAGGAAGCCUAGAGCAGUACAGUUUUUUGCUGAAGGUUAUUUUAAGUGUAAGUAAUUGGUAGCUAGAAUAAUGUUUUCUAGGACUGCCAUAACAUUGUGGCUUUUACAUUUUUUUUUCCGGUGGGUUUGCUUAACUCUCUGCUUGUGACGUUUUGAAAAGCAAAAAAUGGAAAGUCGGCCUGUUCUCUGCUGCUGAAUUCCAGUUCCCCCUCUUCUUACAAUGAUGAUGCCUUUUGAUAACGGUUCUUGAAAGAGCUGAAACUGAGAAAAUUUAACUUAGUAGAAAUUGACAAUUAGUUCUCUUCAUUUCCCCCGCUAAUGAAUUCCAAAACUAUACUAAAUUAGACGAUGGCAUUGGGAAUCAAACAAUUGUAGCCGUAACGUGUCUGAGACAGCGAGGUAGGAUAGGAGCCACUCCCAAAUGGAGCUGUUUUGUCCUGCUGGCUCGGCUGAACAGCGUACACGGCGGUGUGACAACACCACAGAAUCUCCCCCGCCUCGAGUCAGCGUCACUUCUUUUCACACAAAUCAAGACCAUCUCUCCAUCUACCACAGCUGUUCGAGAGACCUGAGUUGGUGUGCUGUUAGCCAUUAAACUAAUGCAACCAUUCUUAGACACUGUAAGGAAGAACAAGCUUCAGUGUCAGUUACCUUUACGCCGUGAGCGACAGUAAGCAGAGAGUCGAUGUGAUUUUGUUCUUGUCUCACGGUUCGUUCAUCCUCAAGUGAGAUACCUGGCAUUAGUUUUAAUGUCAAAGUACAAAGUAUACUGCUACGUGAAAAUUAGGUUCGGUAACGUUAAAGUCUAAGCCACGGAAUUUCCAAAA